rnacentral:rRNA from 1 species
UACAGCGGGUGCAAGCGUUGUUCGGAAUUAUUGGGCGUAAAGCGCGUGUAGGCGGCCCCCUAAGUCUGAUGUGAAAGCCCGGGGCUCAACCCCGGAAGUGCACUUGAAACUAAGAGACUUGAGUAUGGGAGAGGGAAGUGGAAUUCCUGGUGUAGCGGUGAAAUGCGUAGAUAUCAGGAGGAACACCGGUGGCGAUGGCGACUUCCUGGACCGAUACUGACGCUGAGGUGCGAAGGCGUGGGGAGCAAACAGG